GUGAGGCAGAGGCAGUGCUGGUAGAGUAUGUAUAAAACAGGUGGUGAGAAGCAGUAUAGUGAGGCAGAGGCAGUGCUGGUAGAGUAUGUAUAAAACAGAUGGUGAGAAGCAGUAUAGUGAGGCAGAGGCAGUACUGGUAGAGUAUGUAUAAAACAGAUGGUGAGAAGCAGUAUAGUGAGGCAGAGGCAGUGCUGGUAGAGUAUGUAUAAAACAGGUGGUGAGAAGCAGUAUAGUGAGGCAGAGGCAGUACUGGUAGAGUAUGUAUAAAACAGAUGGUGAGAAGCAGUAUAGUGAGGCAGAGGCAGUACUGGUAGAGUAUGUAUAAAACAGAUGGUGAGAAGCAGUAUAGUGAGGCAGAGGCAGUACUGGUAGAGUAUGUAUAAAACAGAUGGUGAGAAGCAGUAUAGUGAGGCAGAGGCAGUGCUGGUAGAGUAUGUAUAAAACAGGUGGUGAGAAGCAGUAUAGUGAGGCAGAGGCAGUACUGGUAGAGUAUGUAUAAAACAGAUGGUGAGAAGCAGUAUAGUGAGGCAGAGGUAGUGCUGGUAGAGUAUGUAUAAAACAGAUGGUGAGAAGCAGUAUAGUGAGGCAGAGGCAGUGCUGGUAGAGUAUGUAUAAAACAGAUGGUGAGAAGCAGUAUAGUGAGGCAGAGGCAGUACUGGUAGAGUAUGUAUAAAACAGGUGGUGAGAAGCAGUAUAGUGAGGCAGAGGCAGUACUGGUAGAGUAUGUAUAAAACAGAUGGUGAGAAGCAGUAUAGUGAGGCAGAGGUAGUGCUGGUAGAGUAUGUAUAAAACAGGUGGUGAGAAGCAGUAUAGUGAGGCAGAGGCAGUGCUGGUAGAGUAUGUAUAAAACAGGUGGUGAGAAGCAGUAUAGUGAGGCAGAGGCAGUACUGGUAGAGUAUGUAUAAAACAGAUGGUGAGAAGCAGUAUAGUGAGGCAGAGGUAGUACUGGUAGAGUAUGUAUAAAACAGAUGGUUAGAAGCAGUAUAGUGAGGCAGAGGCAUGGCUGGUAGAGCAUGUCUUGCUGUCCUAGCUCUCUGAUCACGUCUCAGACUUCCAGUCACACACUGGAGAGGAAACACUUCCCUGUUCCCUCUAAACUCCCAAUCCCCCCGAGAGCCAGCUAGGCUUGACACUGCUGGACCCUUUCACUUUCAGGGUCAGAUUAGGGGAGCAUAUGGCUUAAAGGGACACCAAGAAGGUCUGUAGAGGAUACUGGUGGAUACUGUGCUACCCCGGGUUGUUCUGAGACCUUGGACAUGCUUUAGACCACAGAGUCAGAGUGGGCUUCAGAGCAGGCAGGGGACACAGACUAGCACCUGGCUGUGAGAACACUCACACACACACACACACACACACACACACACACACACACACACACACACACACACACACACACACACACACACACACACACACACACACACACACACACACACACACACACACACACACACACACACACACACACACACACACACACACACACACACACACACACACACACAUCCCCGCACACACUCCCAUGUGGAGUUUCAGUCACCAGAUUAGUAUCCACAGAAUGUAAUAUUUGGAGUUAUAGGUUUUUCCUUUAUUCCGCUGUGAGAGUAAAAUAAAACUACUUUCCCUCUUUUCUCUGUGUAAUCCCUAAUCUCACCAGUCACCAACAGUAAUCCUAAUCGUCUAAAAACAUGCAGCGGAGCAUGAUACAGUAGGGACCCGAAACAGACGUAGGAAAAGGAAAAGUGCUUGUUUCUUCCUCUUUAUCCCUCUAUCCAGCUGCACAUCUGCUGGAUGUCUCAUGUAUAUUGGCAUGCUCUGAUAAACAAGAGUGAUGUCAUAAUUAGUGAAGCUCCCCAUGAGAGAGGGAAGGGAACAUUUAGAAGAAAUGAGAGUAAAUAGAGAAGAGGGAGAGAGGUAGAGGCAAUAGAGAGAUAAAUAAAGAGAGACAGAGACAGAGGGAAAGACAGAGAGAUAUAUAGAAAGGGGGAGGAGGAGAAGAGAGAAAGAAACCCAAGUCUUAAACAGAGCCUUGUAUUUAGUUCCAGUCCCUCCUGGUGUGGAUUCGGACACUGACAGGAUCACAUUUAACACAUGUUGUCAGAUGAAGCAGGGGGAUUCCAUUGGACAACAAGGGAGGACUCUCACAUUGAGCUCCGAGAGGUCAAAGUGCACAACCCUGCCCCUUCCUCCUCCGUCCUGCCACCCCACUGUAACUAGUCAGCUGGUCCUACUCACCAUGCCACCACACCCGCCACGAACAGCGGGACCUGUUGUGUCCCCCUCUGAUGACCUUCUCCAUCCCACAAUGCUCCUCUCUGUGGGGCCCUCAGGACCAGCUGCAGACCUUGGCUCCCUCAUCUGCCUUAUUGACAGGAAGUGAAUCAUCAAUCCAGACUCAACCCCUGACCCCUCUGUCUCUCAUAGUACUUCCUAGCCCUCAGUACCCGGGUUGGCCAAAUAGUGUUUACACAACUAUUUCAUGGCAGGGCCAGGUCAGAUUAGAUCAGAUGAGCUGAUACCAUGCUCCUCCACGAUAUGAAGUCUAAUGAAGUGUGAACGUGGCUUUGGCCACACCACAUCCAAGGCUAAUUAAAGGAUAGUGUAAACAGAAAAGUAGCACAUCUGAUAUCGAAGAAAGGCUGAUUUUACUUUGCAUAUUUUGUGAAAAGGCCAACAACAAAAAACUCUCCUACGGAGACACACACACACUUACACACAUAGUCACAACUGUUCCGGUUCAGAAUAUUCAGAAGCUCUUUGUUCCUGAUUGAGAGAUUACAUCACAGCAUCAACUUUUUUUUUUAAAGAAUGAAGCCGGGUAGUUUCAAAAACUGUCAAGAUCCUUUUACAUUACAGCCAAAAACUUCUUAUCGUUUGCCAAAGCAGUUAGAUCUCCCCAUUUCCGAUCAAAAGCCCUAUAAUCUCAGAGAAACGAUUUAUGUGGCUUUCUUUGUGUCUGUGAUAUAUCGACGGGGGGAUUCUGAACACUCAUGUCCUCUGAGCUUGGCUGAGGAGAGGAGUCGAGAAGCAAAACACUGUUUGUCUUUGAGAGUAAACAGAGUUUAGUGAGGGAUGAGCUCACCUGUGGAAAUAGACGAGUGGAGCAAGGGAGGAGAAUAAGAGAAGUAGAUGGAGAGAGGUGCAGGCGACGCUUGGAGGGUUUCAGAACCUUACAGACACUUUAUCCAACACCAGAUGUGCUGUGGAUUAUGAGUGAGCUAAAUGAAUCCCUGUCUUGAUCCUAUCUUGUGUCUUUGAUGCUUUUUUCUAUAUUCUCUUCUCUCAAAAUACAGAAGGAGUUGUGUUUCUGGGGACUGGGGGUUGUUAGGGGGAGAUUAGGUCUCCAACAGUCUCUGUUCCCAUAUCAUCCUGGCGUUAAUCAAAAGUUUCCUUAUCAAACACAACUCGCUCAGUUGAACUCACAAAUUCCCAGGAAAGAUGUAAUUGUCUCUUAGGCUG